rnacentral:rRNA from 1 species
AGGGGAACAACAGCUGGAAACGGCUGCUAAUACCCCAUAGGCUGAGGAGCAAAAGGAGGAAUCCGCCCAAGGAGGGGCUCGCGUCUGAUUAGUUAGUUGGUGAGGCAAUGGCUUACCAAGGCGACGAUCAGUAGCUGGUCCGAGAGGAUGAUCAGCCACACUGGGACUGAGACACGGCCCAGACUCCUACGGGAGGCAGCAGUGGGGAAUUUUCCGCAUUGGGCGAAAGCCUGACGGAGCAAUGCCGCUU